rnacentral:rRNA from 1 species
CGGAGCAACGCCGCGUGAACGAUGAAGGCCUUCGGGUCGUAAAGUUCUGUUGUUAGGGAAGAACAAGUACCAGAGUAACUGCUGGUACCUUGACGGUACCUAACCAGAAAGCCACGGCUAACUACGUGCCAGCAGCCGCGGUAAUACGUAGGUGGCAAGCGUUGUCCGGAAUUAUUGGGCGUAAAGCGCGCGCAGGUGGUUUCUUAAGUCUGAUGUGAAAGCCCACGGCUCAACCGUGGAGGGUCAUUGGAAACUGGGGAACUUGAGUGCAGAAGAGGAAAGUGGAAUUCCAAGUGUAGCGGUGAAAUGCGUAGAGAUUUGGAGGAACACCAGUGGCGAAGGCGACUUUCUGGUCUGUAACUGACACUGAGGCGCGAAAGCGUGGGGAGCGAACAGGAUUAGAUACCCUGGUAGUCCACGCCGUAAACGAUGAGUGCUAAGUGUUAGAGGGUUUCCGCCCUUUAGUGCUGCAGCUAACGCAUUAAGCACUCCGCCUGGGGAGUACGGUCGCAAGACUG